rfam:Oryza brachyantha chromosome 1, whole genome shotgun sequence.
UGGAUAAGAGUCACCCAGGCUUGCCAAGGAGAUUGCCUGUGAGAUCACAUUCAGAAGCAGAAAAUGCAUCCCUCUGAAACCUCCUGCAUGAGGCCACAGGCAAGUCAUCCUUGGCUACCAGAUGCGAGCUCUCAUCG